rnacentral:rRNA from 1 species
CGCCCGCAAGGGGAGUGGCAGACGGGUGAGUAACGCGUGGGAACAUACCUUUUGGUUCGGAACAACACAGGGAAACUUGUGCUAAUACCGGAUAAGCCCUUACGGGGAAAGAUUUAUCGCCGAAAGAUUGGCCCGCGUCUGAUUAGCUAGUUGGUGGGGUAAUGGCCUACCAAGGCUGCGAUGGGUAGCUGGUCUGAGAGGACGAUCAGCCACACUGGGACUGAGACACGGCCAG